rnacentral:lncRNA from 1 species
CAAGCAUCCCAGAGUCCAGUCAGCAGACAGCAGAGGAGACUGUCAGCAGACCACCUUGGAGGGGAUGCUUGGAGCUGCCUAACGUGUGAUUCAAAGAUGAAUUCCAUGUGUUUGGAGAAGAAGCCCUAGCCUCAACACAAAGGUUGGCCACAUUCCAGCCAAGGUAGCACGGAGUGAAGGCCCAUGGAGGGAGAGCUGGGCUUUUCUGAACUACUUCAGUACACCUUGCUGUGCCUCGGCCUGCCGUGUUUCAUCCCCAUGGCUGUCCUCAGUGAUGUGCAUGGUCACUGCUCCCUUCACCACUGAGAAGACGGGCACAGGACGGUCAGGGGACGUGUCCAAGGUCCCACAGCAGGAAGGGCUGGAGCCAGAAUGUGGUCUGAGAGGCUGGAUAUACAAAGAGACAAUGGCGUGACCAUCUGUACAAAUGGAACUAUGGCCCACAACUUGCAGCAGCCAGCCCAGGAAGCCAACCUGUCACCUGCAGUAGCCAGGAUGGUAUAGUACCUGCCCUCAGUUGUACUCACAUCAUUGGUCUUAUGGGGAAAUUUUAAGAACUCCCACUUGUAAGGUUUUAUAGCCCUCUAUGGAAUAUUGAAGAAAGAGUAAAAUGCAUCCAAAAAAAAAAACAAAAAACACUAAACUGGAUAAAUUCUAAGGCCUCUUCAGGUCUUAAGAUGGCCAUUUUCUAGGUCCUCUUGCUGCAGCAGUGAAAUCCACAAACACGGGCAAGUCAGUCAGUUACGUGCCUUUCAGAGAAAACUUCUGACUUAGGAACUCCAGCUAUUUGGCCCAACCCAUAUUAGAUUGUGUUAUAAAGACAUGGUAAAUUACAUCACGAAGGGAAGAGCAGAGGAAACAUAAUAUUCCUUCAAGACCCAUCAGCUCAGAUGUUAGCAGAACACCCCUAAGGAGGAAAACAAGAAAUUUUGGGUUUGAACUUGGUGCUUCCCAGCAGCCCUGGGAGUGGGGUCAGAAGCCCUGCUGGGGGGCGAAGAACUCUGAGGAUCAAAGAUGUUGAGCAUCACCUUAGAGGCCAAAGAUCAGAACAGCGGAGGUGGCCUUUGAAGCCCAACCUGUCUUUCACCAGAGAGUGAGAACGGCCUCUAUUUCCAGGAAGCUCACUGCAGCAAUAAUCACGAUGCUCUGAGCCUGACAAGGUGAGAAUUUACUUUCAGCACCUGCAAUAGUUUCCUAUUAAAGUUACAUAUGAAACCCUGCCGUCUUGUACCAACUAAUGUUCACACCAGCGUUCCUAUUUUCAAGAUAAAUUGCAAAAUAAAAACUCUUGUUUUUGUUAGCAAAAGAAAACUUCUUUAGGAGGAUAAAAGGGAGAUGAAGAAACAGAAAACACAUCAGCUCUCCAUCCAGAUUACAGAAAGCAGAAAACAUCCUGAAGUGAAUAACAUAGGAAUCACUCUUUUUCCCCCCUGAGAUAGCAGGUUACUUAUGAGAAACAAGCUUGAAAUCUCUGCACCUGGA